rnacentral:other from 1 species
UGUCUGAGCGGUUCGUGAUGCGCUGAUUAUAUUUUGACCUAACACCUUUUAAAUCGGGAAUUCAGUAGUUUUCUUGUUAUGAACACGCCUAUUUCGGUAGGACGUUCGGAUCAAGAAACAGAAUACCCACCUGCAAAUAGCAGGCCAAAUUAAUCGGCAACUGCACACGGCUAUUCUCGGAU